AUUAGAUAGAACUUCAUUAAUUCCUUGGGAAGACUCCCUCAGGGAAACUGAGGUUCCAGCAGCAUUGUAUAGCAGUACACAGGAUAAGAAGGACACAGAGUAUCAAAACAGAAAAUAAAAAAAUAAAUACACAGACAU